GGGUUGUGAGGUUAAGCGACUAAGCGUACACGGUGGAUGCCCUGGCAGUCAGGGGCGAUGAAGGGCGUGCUAAUCUGCGAUAAGCGCCGGUAAGGUGAUAUGAACCGUUAUAACCGGCGAUACCCGAAUGGGGAAACCCAGUGUGACUCGUCACACUAUCAUUAACUGAAUCCAUAGGUUAAUGAGGCGAACCGGGGGAACUGAAACAUCUAAGUACCCCGAGGAAAAGAAAUCAACCGAGAUUCCCCCAGUAGCGGCGAGCGAACGGGGAGGAGCCCAGAGCCUGAAUCAGCAUGUGUGUUAGUGGAAGCGUCUGGAAAGGCGCGCGAUACAGGGUGACAGCCCCGUACACAAAAGCGCAUGUGCUGUGAGCUCGAUGAGUAGGGCGGGACACGUGGUAUCCUGUCUGAAUAUGGGGGGACCAUCCUCCAAGGCUAAAUACUCCUGACUGACCGAUAGUGAACCAGUACCGUGAGGGAAAGGCGAAAAGAACCCCGGCGAGGGGAGUGAAAAAGAACCUGAAACCGUGUACGUACAAGCAGUGGGAGCACAGGUUUACCUGUGUGACUGCGUACCUUUUGUAUAAUGGGUCAGCGACUUAUAUUCUGUAGCAAGGUUAACCGAAUAGGGGAGCCGGAGGGAAACCGAGUCUUAACCGGGCGUUAAGUUGCAGGGUAUAGACCCGAAACCCGGUGAUCUAGCCAUGGGCAGGUUGAAGGUUGGGUAACACUAACUGGAGGACCGAACCGACUAAUGUUGAAAAAUUAGCGGAUGACCUGUGGCUGGGGGUGAAAGGCCAAUCAAACCGGGAGAUAGCUGGUUCUCCCCGAAAGCUAUUUAGGUAGCGCCUCGUGAAUUCAUCUCCGGGGGUAGAGCACUGUUUCGGCUAGGGGGCCAUCCCGGCUUACCAACCCGAUGCAAACUGCGAAUACCGGAGAAUGUUAUCACGGGAGACACACGGCGGGUGCUAACGUCCGUCGUGAAGAGGGAAACAACCCAGACCGCCAGCUAAGGUCCCAAAGUCAUGGUUAAGUGGGAAACGAUGUGGGAAGGCCCAGACAGCCAGGAUGUUGGCUUAGAAGCAGCCAUCAUUUAAAGAAAGCGUAAUAGCUCACUGGUCGAGUCGGCCUGCGCGGAAGAUGUAACGGGGCUAAACCAUGCACCGAAGCUGCGGCAGCGACGCUGAUGCGUUGUUGGGUAGGGGAGCGUUCUGUAAGCCUGCGAAGGUGGCCUGUGAGGGUUGCUGGAGGUAUCAGAAGUGCGAAUGCUGACAUAAGUAACGAUAAAGCGGGUGAAAAGCCCGCUCGCCGGAAGACCAAGGGUUCCUGUCCAACGUUAAUCGGGGCAGGGUGAGUCGACCCCUAAGGCGAGGCCGAAAGGCGUAGUCGAUGGGAAACGGGUUAAUAUUCCCGUACUUGGUGUUACUGCGAAGGGGGGACGGAGAAGGCUAUGUUGGCCGGGCGACGGUUGUCCCGGUUUAAGCGUGUAGGUGUGUGUUCCAGGUAAAUCCGGUUCACUUUAACACUGAGGCGUGAUGACGAGGCACUACGGUGCUGAAGCAACAAAUGCCCUGCUUCCAGGAAAAGCCUCUAAGCAUCAGGUAACAUCAAAUCGUACCCCAAACCGACACAGGUGGUCAGGUAGAGAAUACCAAGGCGCUUGAGAGAACUCGGGUGAAGGAACUAGGCAAAAUGGUGCCGUAACUUCGGGAGAAGGCACGCUGACACGUAGGUGAAGUGAUUUACUCAUGGAGCUGAAGUCAGUCGAAGAUACCAGCUGGCUGCAACUGUUUAUUAAAAACACAGCACUGUGCAAACACGAAAGUGGACGUAUACGGUGUGACGCCUGCCCGGUGCCGGAAGGUUAAUUGAUGGGGUCAGCGCAAGCGAAGCUCCUGAUCGAAGCCCCGGUAAACGGCGGCCGUAACUAUAACGGUCCUAAGGUAGCGAAAUUCCUUGUCGGGUAAGUUCCGACCUGCACGAAUGGCGUAAUGAUGGCCAGGCUGUCUCCACCCGAGACUCAGUGAAAUUGAACUCGCUGUGAAGAUGCAGUGUACCCGCGGCAAGACGGAAAGACCCCGUGAACCUUUACUAUAGCUUGACACUGAACAUUGAGCCUUGAUGUGUAGGAUAGGUGGGAGGCUUUGAAGUGUGGACGCCAGUCUGCAUGGAGCCGACCUUGAAAUACCACCCUUUAAUGUUUGAUGUUCUAACGUGGACCCGUGAUCCGGGUUGCGGACAGUGUCUGGUGGGUAGUUUGACUGGGGCGGUCUCCUCCUAAAGAGUAACGGAGGAGCACGAAGGUUGGCUAAUCCUGGUCGGACAUCAGGAGGUUAGUGCAAUGGCAUAAGCCAGCUUGACUGCGAGCGUGACGGCGCGAGCAGGUGCGAAAGCAGGUCAUAGUGAUCCGGUGGUUCUGAAUGGAAGGGCCAUCGCUCAACGGAUAAAAGGUACUCCGGGGAUAACAGGCUGAUACCGCCCAAGAGUUCAUAUCGACGGCGGUGUUUGGCACCUCGAUGUCGGCUCAUCACAUCCUGGGGCUGAAGUAGGUCCCAAGGGUAUGGCUGUUCGCCAUUUAAAGUGGUACGCGAGCUGGGUUUAGAACGUCGUGAGACAGUUCGGUCCCUAUCUGCCGUGGGCGCUGGAGAACUGAGGGGGGCUGCUCCUAGUACGAGAGGACCGGAGUGGACGCAUCACUGGUGUUCGGGUUGUCAUGCCAAUGGCACUGCCCGGUAGCUAAAUGCGGAAGAGAUAAGUGCUGAAAGCAUCUAAGCACGAAACUUGCCCCGAGAUGAGUUCUCCCUGAGACUUAGAGUCUCCUGAAGGAACGUUGAAGACGACGACGUUGAUAGGCCGGGUGUGUAAGCGCAGCGAUGCGUUGAGCUAACCGGUACUAAUGAACCGUGAGGCUUAACCUUACAACGCCGAAG
rnacentral:rRNA from 2 species